rnacentral:tRNA from 1 species
AGAGUGAGGGUUUACACCCUGCCUUACAAGCAGGAUGUCGGCGGUUCGAGCCCGUCAUCGCCCA